AUCCAGGCUGAGUCACAAUGACCACUGGUGACGGUGCUUGCAUUUUCAAUGCAGGAUCUUCAAUGGCAGCAGUCUGAAAAGGGAAAAGUUGGUGUAAGUGGACUCCAGGUGGCUCCUGGAAAUCUGCGUUGAGGCAUUCCGCUCCACAGCCAAGAGCAGAAAGUGAUGGAAGAUUUCAGGCAAAAGAAAAAAAUGGAGACAGGAGGAACUGAAAUGGAAAUCUUGGCACAAGUUUUGAAGAGAGACUACAACUCCUUUCUUUAGAAGUUUCAUUUCAUGGAGUGGCCUCAACACUAGGAAUCCUUGCAGAAUUUGGCUCAUUUUAAGCAUCCUAAUUUGAUCUAUUUGUUAUAGAUCUUUGUUAUAACUAACCUUAUACCUGUCUCCCUUGACUUGGAACAUGUCACUCUUGAGAAGAACAGCCCAUAAUCAUAUUAAUAUUAACUGCUAGUAUUGAUGUAUUACUCUAUUAUAUUAAUAUUAAUAAAUCCAGGUACUAAUGCA